rnacentral:ncRNA from 1 species
CUACAGUCCGCCCGUCGCGGUAAAUCCCGCGACCGGGUGUGGUAGCCCGAUAC